AAGUCGUAACAAGGUUUCCGUAGGUGAACCUGCGGAAGGAUCAUUAACACGUCUAACAACGUUUUAUGAUAACCCCUCUGUGAACUUGUAAAACCAAAUCCUGGUGGGCUCGCAAGAGCUUGCUGGGUACCUUUUAACCCAAAAUCCUGGUGACUUGGGCGUUCACGCGCUCGGGUUGUCAGGUCGCAGCCCUGCGUGGCCGCUCUCUCUUUUUGGAGGGAGAGCGUGCUGCAACGGACGGCGUUAACCCAAACCAAACCCUUGAACCUAACUGCUCUGAAAACCCUAACUUUGGCAGUGCGCUCACGCGUGUUGCCGAGUUAACAAAAACAAAAAACAACUCUUAACAACGGAUAUCUUGGUUCUC
rnacentral:misc_RNA from 1 species